GAAUUUUGGACAAUGGGGGCAACCCUGAUCCAGCCAUGCCGCGUGUGUGAAGAAGGCCUUUUGGUUGUAAAGCACUUUAAGCAGUGAAGAAGACUCCAUGGUUAAUACCCAUGGACGAUGACAUUAGCUGCCGCAUAAGCCACGGCUAACUUUGUGCCAGCAGCCGCGGUAAUACAGAGGGGGCAAGCGUUAAUCGGAAUGACUGGGCGUAAAGCGGGCGUAGGUGGCUUGAUAAGUCAGAUGUGAAAUCCCCGGGCUUAACCUGGGAACUGCAUCUGAUACUGUUAGGCUAGAAUAGGUGAGAGGAAGGUAGAAUUCCAGGUGUAGCGGUGAAAUGCGUAGAGAUCUGGAGGAAUACCGGUGGCGAAGGCAGCCUUCUGGCAUCAUAUUGACACUGAGGUUCGAAAGCGUGGGUAGCAAAC
rnacentral:rRNA from 1 species